rnacentral:lncRNA from 1 species
AGUGUGGUGUAGCACCAACAUCUGGAAGCCUUUCAAAGUUUCUCACCUUAUAGUUAGUUACUGUGGUGUCAUCUACACCCAGCUAACUGAUUGUACAAAAAUUCUUAAGAGGCCAUGUUUUGAGAGAUUCUCUUGGAUGUUUCUGAGCCCUUACAAUGGAUCAUGUUGAAGUGCUAGCCGUGCAUGUGGACAAACUUCACAAGCAUGCAAUGACCAGACACCAAGCUCUGACCAGAGGCAAGCUCCCAACUGUGCCUUUCUUUCCUUCUCUCCACCUCCAAAUAUUCCUCCUGCAAAUGUGUCAAAACUCAGUAUAAUAACAGUAGAAUAAGGGAUGAUAAUUUUUUCUAUUUUUCAGGGAGGAUGGUUUGCAAGGAUCUUAUAGAGCUGAGACAUCUAUAGUUACGAGCUCUAUAUGAAAUUGGACUCAAACCGCACAUAUUAUAAUACGCACUGAUGACCCUCGGGCACCUGAGCAUCUUGGGACUUAUUAUUUAUUACCGAUUCAUAUUUCUCAUGUUCAACAGAACUUUUCAUGACCAAUUGAAAUACCUAAAGGAGAGAAGGAGAGACAGAGACAGAAACAGAGAGAAUUAAGGGCUGGAUAGAGCACUUGCUGAGUGUACAUGAGACUCUAGGUUUGAUCCCUGAUACCCUCUUUCCCCAAAAAUUACAGGACAAAUUUCAGUGAAGAAGAAAAUAGGAUAAAGAGAUAAUUUAUACAUUUCCCCCUAAAGGACCAUAGUUUUAAUGCUCUAAAGCAGUGAUGGCAAACCUUUUAGACCUUUCAGUGAUAACAAACAGCAGGCUGUGGCACUUUUCAUAGGUUCGCCACCACUAUUGUAAAGCAUCGUUGAAACCAGAAACACAUCCUGCAUUGAGCUUCUCCUGAGGAAGUUCAAGCACUGACUGGCCUCUUGCAUUAUUUCUCUCUUCCUGAGUGCCCCUUACUGUGUCUUUGGGUGGAGGGGGAUUAGAUUGCUCUCCUUUGGUGCUGUUUGUCUCCUCUGGCAGAGCUCUGAAAUGGCUUGUCCAUGGAGGGUGCCAGGUCAGAUCCUUUUUUUCUCCUGAGCCCACCACAGGAAACUUCCUCCCUCCUGAGCAGACCCAGGCAGCCCACCCGUGGCCUGUCGGUCACACCCUGGGUCUCCAUCUCGGCAUCCUUUUGCGGGAACUCUCGGAGCUGGUCACUGGUAGAGGUGUCCAGGGACAGCAUGAUCUGGGCCAGGCUUAGCAUGACCCCCUCCAGCCAGCAAUAUACCACUUAUUCACAUGAGUACCACAGCGACUCCAGUGUCAUCAGGGCCAUGGGAGAAGAUACGCAAUGAAGUGUGCUUAGAGCUCCUCAGAGAAGACUGCUUCCUAGGUCAAUUGCGUGGUUACUUUCCUGGGGACUCAGGGCUGGCCUGCAGUGCAGCAGUACCCUGACACCCCAGGAAACAGAGUCCUUGAGGAGUCAGAGCCAAAUGUCAGGCACACUUUUGCCUUGAAUCUUAUUCUGAUUUUUCCAGCCCAUUGCCGAGUUGCUGGUGUUCUCCGCUGUACUCGUGGGCUGUUUUGAUUUGGAAAUGCCAUUUGCUUACAGUGCGAUUUUGGGGUUGGAUAUUAGGAUUGCUGUUCACAAGCUGGUGAUGGAACCCCACAUCAGGGCGGGCAUUUGUGUGCGGAGCAGAGAACUCCACUCGGAUUUCUACUCGGGGCUCUGCCCAGAGAAUAUUUUAUGUCUCAUGCACUUUUAUGAGUAUUUCAUUAAUUAUUUAUGUGAAUUCCAGAGCUAAGUUUUGCUAAGUAAAUAUGAAACAGCUCGUCUACAAGGAAAAAAAAAAACCUACAAAUUUUGUACCACCUUGCCCCUCUCAUGAAAACUCUGAGACUGAGCUGUAGACUCUUCCCUAGGUGCUUUUGAGAAAAUAGGAAAUUGACAUUAUAAAAAUGACCCAGGACAGUUUCAGGAUUUUUAUGUUUGAAGCUAGAAAAUGCUACCAUUUUAAAUGUAGGAAACUUUCCUUUUUUAAGUAGUUGUUCUAAGAAUACUACACAAGGUCUGAAAUUUCCUAUUUUCAUCAUAUUAUCAGCCAGCAAGAGUUUGAUGAUUGAAAGAAUUAUUAAAGGAGAUCAGGAAAUGUUCUUUUUAAAGGUAUAAUGCUCUAUAAGCAAAGGCCUGGGCUAUUAUUCCCCCAACUUUGGGGAUUUACGGGUUGGUGGGCGCAAUAGUGAAUGUUCAUAUUGGAGGUCCAGAUCUUAAGAAAAGUCAUUUUGCCAAUAAUCUACUAUGAGGAAGCAGUGAAAAUUAAUUAACAUUGAGGAAAGCACGUUAUGAGUCUAUAUGCUUAAAUGGCUGGCCCAUUUGGACUGAAAUGAGUGAUACACUCAGCUAUAAAUUCCAGUUAAGUUGGUGAACCAGUUAACUCCGUAAACGAGUUAUAUAGGGCUAAAUUUUAAAAAAUGAAUUGGAUGGCUCAAUAGAUAGAUCAAAAUCAAAGGAUGUUAUAAAAAAAUAUGGACAGAGCCCGUGAUGCCAUUUCAAAGCCAUGAAAUAGAUUGAAAACAUCUUUUGUAAUGAUUUGAGAGAACGCAUAACUUUUGGGAUAUAUAAAAUAGAAAAGUAAAUGGAGAGGCAGACUUCGAUAAAAACCUAGAGGUUUACAACAAAAAUAUAUUUUUUAAGAAAUCUCUGUGUGUUUCGAAUAAUAAAAGCUUUCCUUUCUCUUGUUUUGGUUUUGCCUUUCUAAAUAGCUCAUGUAUUUGUCAGCAUCUUUAACCUGAGUCUGGUGACCUCGCCCUGGUGAUAGCUAUUCCAAUAUAUUUUCUAAGCAGUCAGUGGUUACUUUGUGCAGAAAUAAUUUUGGCUAUUUCAUACCUUUCAGUUUAAUUUUUUGCCUUUUGAUCCUUGAAUUUUUUUCUCUGCCUAAUUUUUCGCCUUUGAAUGUUUGUAAAUCUCCUACUCCUCUGCUUUUUCUUCUUUGAUUCCCUUCUUUGCAGGGAUCUUGCUGGGAUGUUUUUGCUCCACUACCCGAAUUCCCUCUCUUAAGCAUCUAUGGAUUACCCUUUACCCAGGGUACCCACAUCCACCUUCAAUCUCUCUAUGGAUAUAGAACAUUCUGUUCCUCCACAGCAAUUUCUUUUGGGAAGUGCAAGCUAUUGAAAAAUCCAAACCAAUACAUUUUGAUGGGUAAUUAAUUUUUCAUACAAUUUUCAUUAACUUUCCAAUUGGAUAUGCUCCUGGAUCUCUUUUUCAUAGUUUCUCAGUCUUUCCCUCUCUUCCAGUGAGUACAAGUUGUCAUUUCUGUCUCAUUUCCUCCUCACUAAGGUGGACUUUGGUCACAUUGGAAAACUCUGGGUUAAAAUUUCUGCAUGGCUGACUGAGCCUGGACAGUUCAUCCCCUCUUCUUGGAGGCUCCAGACAUCCAUCCCUCUUUCCUGAGACAGACUUGGCAGGUAGCAGGAGGAGGGCUUAGGUGGGAGUUGGCACUGUGGGCAUGCCGUGUCUGAGGACAGAUAGACAGGGCUCUGGUCAGUGCUGUCCACUUACCAACAUCUGUGCCACUUCAUGGAAAACAGGCAUCUCCAGCCGGCCAGCUCUGAACUCCCAUGAUGGGAAGACCCAUGCCCGUUUUUCAUUGUGGAGCCAUGGGAAGGGCUUUUAUUGUUGGAAAUCAAACUCAGCUGAAAGAGACCUUGCAAUGACUGUGGAGUCAGUGUAGAUGGAAGUGGCUUUCAGCUGCUUGCAGGCUAUAGUGUAAUUUUUGGCUGGAGAAAAAUUAGGUGUCUCAGAAUUGGUGAUUUGGUACUAGAAAGCUUUCAGGGUUUGGUUUAUUCUGGGAGAGGGAUAGUUUCCUUCUUUUUGAUGUGACCAUAGGUGACCUGAGAAACCCCUGGUUUCUGCCAUAUGUUCCUGUUAGGAGAGAGCAGGGUGUGCUGUGGUAAAAGAUAAACACCGAAACCAGUGGCUUCAGACGAUGAGUUUAUUUCUCUCUGUCAUUGCAUAUCCUUGUGGGUCAGAAAGGGGGGUGGCUGUUGUGGACACUUGGGGCCCUUUUUGUAUUAGCCUGCAUUUCCACUGUGGCAAGGGGAAGAGAAUGUGGUGAAUUUGGCCCUGGCUGGUCAAGCUUCUGCCCAGAAGGGCCACCUCUUGCUUCUGCUCCCUUUUCCUGGGUCAAGGGAAGUGAACUAAACAGUUGGGGACAUUCAGUCCUGCACUGAACAUAGAAGAAAGAGAAGAGAAACAUUCAGGAACCUGCUGUGUGACUAUUCUGCUGUCCAUUAAACAUAAGUACCAGGGAAGAGAGCUCCCUUUGAUCAGGUGAUUAGUGGUGCCAGUGUGGGUUUCUGUGUCCCGUUUUUGAGUGGUGACAGUGUUGCCACAGCUCACAGUAAUCCCUGUGAACCGAAUUUUCUGCAUCAUCCUUGGAAUCUUCUGAUGCAGUAGCUUCAAGGACUAUUGAUUCUUUGAAACACUUCUCAUGACAAUGGCUAUGAUGAAAAUAAAGGUGAAGAAUAAAAACUCACUCGUGGAGAGAAAUAAAUUGCUUAAGGAUUGCUUUAAUCUUGCCUUUUCUUCUCAUUCUUUUAAAAGUGUCUUUCAAAUUUUACUCAAAGAACAUCAUUGUGAUCACAUUAUUCAGCAUUUGAUGGAUAAGGAUGAAGACUCAGAAAAGAUGAGUACAGUAGAUGUCUCAACUUUGCAAUAGAAUGUAAAGCCUUCAGCUCAUCUUUUGGGAUUUGAAUAUAAUCACUACCUCACCACCCCCAUCACUACUUGUACUCCAUUACACCAUCACGUCCGCCAUCAAUGCCUCUACCCACCACCACUACUACCCCCACCGCCAUCAUUAUAACCACCAUCUCCAGCACCACUGCUAUCACCACUCUCCUACCACCUGUCACCCAGGUCGCAUAUCAUGUUUCUCUUCUAACCACCAUGGGCCCCUACAAUUAUGCCAGAUUUCUAGCAGUUAAGUUUGGCUUUCUCUACAUUUGUGUAAUCCAGGAAUAAAAACGUUCUAUGGGAGAAAACUGACAACUCAGAUCUGUCUCGGGGACUGGGAUUGGAUUAAACUUGUCUCUUCUUUUUCCCUCUUUAAAAAAUUUCCUUUCAAUAUUCUUCUUGUGGCAUCUUCUUCUUUAGACAUGGACGAGAACCUGAAGUUCAGAAAUGAUACCCAUCAUCAGCAGGCCUCUUUUUCUUCUUUUUCUCUUUUAAUGUUUGAGAUGGAUCUCACUAUGUUUCCCAGGCUGGCAUUGAACUAGGCUGAUGGGAUCUUCCUGUCUCAGCCUUCUUGGUGACUGGGACUAUAGAAGCACAUCACUGUGCCCAGUUUAUCGCAAGCUUCUAACACCUUUCCUAUAUGGACCACUCAGAUGUAACCCUUUUAUAUAAGAGCAUGGCUAGUAUUUCCAGAAGCCAGGCAUCUUUCUGGCAAACUGGUCAGUAGCCAUAAGGAAGAUAGAAGGUCCAGUCCAAAGUCAGUGAUCACAGAAUCAGAACGACUGGGUGAAUUACCUCCAUGUGUUCCCCUGCCUGCUCCUGGACAGUGCUCUGAUGGCCUGUGGGGCUGCAGAGUCCCACUCCCUUGAGGUCCCACUCCCUUGAGGAUGCUGGCAGGUGUGUUGGAACCCACCUCAGCCUCUGCAGUUGAAAUGAGCGUUUGCUGGGCCCACAGCAUCUGUGUCUGAACUCUCUUGCUGGCGUGGAGGAACUGUGCACAGAGGAUAAAUUCUGGCCCAAGGCGAAAGCCCUAGAGCUUUGCCCUGCCCCCUUCAAAUAUUAAUAAAAUAAGGAUGUUAUUAAAUUACCAAUCCUGACUCCAAUUGAGUGUUUGCCAAGAACCCCAUGCUUCCACCUCACAUAAUACAUUUUAUUUUUCUUUUGGGGAUUUGUUUUCUGAAUCAGUUUACUUCUUCGUGGUCCAAUAAUCACUAAAUGGAAUUCUCUCCAUCUUUCAUCCUUCAUCAUUAGGGUAAAAAAAAUACAGUAUCACUUUCUGGAAGGAAAUAAAUAUCUUGAAAUGAAAGACAAUAUUUAGCGACCAAAAGAAGAGAAAUCCCUCAAGAGUACUACUUUUCUGAUGACUCAGAACUGGAAGUGAUUAAGGGCUCAGUGCAUUACAACAACGGGCACCCCCAUCCAUCCGUCCCUCCAUUUCAGAAGAAAAUCAAACAUCGUUUUGGAGGGCCAUAUCAGUUUCAAAGAUUGCCAUCAGGGUGGGAGCAAAUGAAGUUGAAAUGGCCUGAUCGUUCACUGCGGCCUCAGAGCGGAAACUUUUCCUCUGAGUUGAAAGCUGGUGGAAUAUUCAUGGAAAUGUAAUCCGAGCACGGGGUACCAAGUCAGUGUCAAAACUGUGUUCCAAAUCAUAUUUGCUGUUUGUAAAGCGGCUCCUUGGGGAGCAGCUAAAGGAAGGGAGAGGGUGGAGGACUUGGGCUUCCUGGAGCCUUGACCCAGGUCUGAGGGUUGGGCUUCCUUCUUCCUUCUGGGGACUUUUCUUAGGGUUUAGGGUGGUGGGGUUCAGUCCUUCUGGCUCUGCAAGGACCAUUACUGGCUCAGAUGCGGAAGCUAGUUCUUGCUCUUUGUUUAUUUUUUUUGAGACAGGGUCUUGUUAUGUAAUUCAGGCUGCACUGAACUCACUCUGCAGCCCAUGCUGGCCUUGAACUUGUGGUGAUCCUCCACCCUCAGUCUCCUGAAUGCUGGGAAUCACAGGCAUGUGCCACCACACCUGGCCCCUGGCUCUUGCCCCUGUGCUGUGGCUGAAAAACAGAAACCACAGAGAAAUCCACGUGAAAGUCACUGUGCAGAGUUCUGCAUGUGCACAAGUGAUGCCCUUCACUUUUUCCUUCAAGGCCUUCUGAUCAGGGUUUUGAUUGAAGAAAAAAGAAUGUGGAGGUGCAGAUUCUGAUGGGCAUCAUAUGAAGAUGCUGGAAUUAUACCUUAAAAUGAAAAAGGGGUUCAAAACACAGAUGACCUAAAUUUCCUUCCCAGAAUGAACAAAUCUCUCUCCUUUUCCCUCAGGAAUGCUCCUCAUCUGUAGUUAAUCUUAGAAUUAACAUUUAGUAAAUUACUGCCGCAGUGCCUUCCACGAGGAAGGUGCCUGGUGGCUCCGUUGAUUAGAACCUCUGCGCUAAUGAAGCCUCCCAGCUGUGGUCCCUGCUCUGAACCUCGGCCAGGUCUCCAAGUGGACACUGGUCACAAGUGGCCUUCUGUAGAAGCAUCAGCCAAGGUUUUCAUGGUUAGGGGCAAAGCCACUCCAAGCAGAUGCCGUGAAUUAAUUUGGAAUAUGACAGCAGUCGCCAGGGGUAACCAGAGGGGACCCUCGAGGCCAGUGCCAAGCCCCAUGCUUCUCAGGGCAGCCUCCUGGGGUUGCUGGUGGGAUCUGGGGAAGCUCCAGUCCUGCCCAGGGGAGGGAGAACUUGUCCAAGUCACAGACCCUAGGGUGGCUGCAGUAGGUUUUGUGGAGCUGUUGUUGCUAGCCCUCAUCUAAUAGCUGGCUCUCUGGGGCCUUGGGAUUCUAUCUCCAGCUCCUGCAGCCACAGCAGGCCCUGUCCACCUGGGCCCUAGCCCUGACUUGGAAGGGGUGUUGUUCCCAGGCCUAGGCCUGGGCACUCGCUGGUGUCCACUGGGGCUGGUUCUUGGGCAUCUGGUGGACUCAUGCUCCAUAGGCUCCCUGCUGAAACCAGUACCCUUGACAGGCUUUGAGCAACAUCACCAUCUCCUGCCACAGGACAGGGCUGUCUUCUUGUGCUUAGAGAUGGAUAGGCUCUGGCUAUGUUCCCGAGGCUGGCUUUGAUGUCCCAGGCUCUAGUGGUUCUCCUGCCUCAGCCUCCCAGGUGGCUGGGGCUAUUGGUGUGAGCUAUGGGGGAUAAGUGGGCUGAGGAGUGGUACUUGGUGUGGGCUUGAGCACCCUAUGCGGGAGGAUGCACAGGGGGACCUCUGUGGUCAGAGGGAGAAGCACCCUGGGCUGAGACCUUGGGACUUGAGGGGGGUCACUGGAGAUAGAUAAGGUCAGGACAGCACAGGGCUGGCUGCUCAAUUAGAAAGAGAAGGCUUCAGAGACAGAGGGGGAAGCCAGAGGCUGGGUCGGGGAUGGGCUUCCUCUUGGAUGCCUGAGAUCACUGAGUGAGAGGAGAAAAAGAACAGUGCUGUUUUGCUGAAGACCAUCUGAGGGCCAGGGGGUGGCUGGGCAGGUGCUUGACCUGGUCCCCUCCCCAGUCUGCUCAAGUGGCAGGUGUGUUCAAGAGUCCGGUGACCAGGAGGCUGGGGGGAUUUAAAACAAAUUAAGAUGGGUUGUGUACACUGAGCCAGAUGUGGUGGGACAUGCCUGUGAUCCCAGCAAUCAGGAGGCUGAGGCAGGAGGAUUGCUGUGAGUUCAAGGCCACUCUGGCCUUCAUAGUGAAUUCAAGGUCAGCCUGAACUUCAUAGCAAGACCUUGUUUCAAAAAGAAAAAAAUGUUAUGUACAUGUAUUUACUCUUCACAAUGAGUGUGACCAUUAUGUACUGCAACAUGUACUCAUGAAAAUAAAAUUAAAAAGCAUGCAAAUCCUUUUAAAAGCAAGAGCAAAAAGGCGGGCUGGCAUGUUGUUCAGUGGUGUGGCACGUGCUUAGCAUGCACAAGGCUCUGGGUUCCGGGCCCAUUACAAAAGAGCCAAACAGCAUCUCCCUGCCAAAGCCCUAAUAAAAGAAAUCCAGAAAGGGAACCUGAGGUAACUGGGGACAGGUGUGGCCUCGUGGCCAGAGCACAGCUGUGCUUUGCAGUAAGAGCCACACCUGCACCAUGUGCACAGGACAGGGAGAAAAAGAACACUCACCAAGGUGGCUCUGUUUGUAUCCAGGAUGCUAGGGCAUGGGGCGCGGAUGGAGGCUCAAACCAGCCACCCUGUGUGUGUAGAGAAAGUGGUAAUCAUCUUUGGUUUCAUUCACCUUUAAAGCAUUGUUUUCUUGUUGCACCAAGUAAUGCUUUUUCUAAUUGGGAAAAGUUCCCAGGGUGGGGACUUUGCUGGACAAGCGAGCUGUUGCCCAGCUGUAGGUGUGGUGGCACCGGACAUACCUCUCCUAACUCAGUCCAUCCGCCACUGCAGUGAGGGAAGUGACCAUUUGACUGGAAUUUGCUGCUGUUUUGCACCAGGUGAGCUGUGUUUUAGGGCGAGACUCUUCUUGUUGUUUUAAUGAGAGGCUGUAGUAGCAAGGACUCCAGGAGCUUGCCUCCUGGGAUGCCCAAGCCCUUGAUCCCUGCUAGAGGACUGCAGUCCUCCUGAAGGUGAAUGCUAUCCUCACAUGGGGCCCACUGGGCUAUGUGUGGAGGUGAGCAUGGAGAGCCUCUCAGGGAUGAGGAAGGAAGAGCCUGUUGCAAUGGGCAUGCAGAAGUGCAAGUGCCUGGCCUCUGCGGUCUUGGUCCUGGAUUCGAUUCCAUCAGAAGUGCCAAAGCUGAGCCCAAGACAGAUGGCCAUAGCAGCCAUGCUGGGAAUUGCUGGGUGCCUCCCUGUGACCUCUGAGGGCAUGGCUGUAAAAAUCUCCAAAACAGGGAGGAGCUUGGGGCUGGUCGUGAUCAUGAAGUGACACUUCUGGGCAUCUGGUCCCCAUGAUGCACUCACGGCAGAGAGAAGACACAGCCUCCCUAACCCGGCUGGGUGACCACAGCAGAUCUAUAUCAUCAGGGGCUCUGAAGGCCGAGAUCGGUCCUGCCUCAGGACUGAGACCUCUGUAGUCCUAGACCUGAGGUGUGAUCACCAGGUUUUCCCUUUAUCUCCCAAUGGUCAUGAAGUGGGUCCUGUCCUUGGGGACACACUUGUGACAUGCACACUCGCAGAGGUAGACCUCAGCCACUUAGGAGUCUAUCUUUCCUGGUAGGAUCCUGUGGUAACCUUUUAGGGCAAACCAAUUCAUUUGCAGAGUACGGUGUCUGCUGGGUGAGCCUGAGCUGGGGCGCAGCCUGGAUGUCCCAGUCCUUUAGAGGAAUGGCAGCUGCCACAAGAUGUGACCUUGGCAUUUGAGAUCACCAGGGAGUUGGUGUGAGCUCCAGAGACAACACCAGCGUUGGGCACGGUAGAUCCAGGUGCCAGACCUUGCUUUUCCUGCUCUGCAACUUCAAUGGCUCAAAUGCCCAUCGCAGGGUCUUCAAAGUGGUGUAAUGCCAUCUACCCCUCAUAUAUUGGGACAGCAGAGGAAGAGGGAUAAAGUGCCUGGAUAUGUGCAUUCAUCGAGUGUCCUGAAGAUGCUCCUUCUGACUGGAAGAGCUGAAGAGACAAGACUUUUCACUAAGUGAUAUUUUUGAUGCAGUCUAAGGAUUUAUCUCAAAAUCCCAGUCACAUUACUUCCUGAGAACAAAAGGUCUGCUGAAGUUGCCUGAUGAAAAGUCCAGCCUUCCAGAAUCUUCCAUUCUACAAGUGCUACCUACAGUGACUCUGAGAGAUUGAUUAUUUAUUACGGAGAUGGGAAGAAAAGGAAACGACCAGCCCGUCACACGUCCCUGGCCCAGAUCUGCCAGUCUCUCUCUUCCCGGUCUCAGGAAACUGUGCUGACAGUCCUCGAGGUGCGGUGGGGAGCCCCUGGCAACCACUCACCUGCUUUCUGUCUGUGUGGAUUGACCUGUUCUGGAUAUUUCCUGCAAAAGGAAUGCUGAAUUUUAGUACCGGGCUUCUUUUCCUUCCUGUAAUGUUUUUGGAAUCCAUCCACAUUGUUGAGUGUAUCAGUGUAUCAGUACUUCACUUAUUGUACAGCUGAGUAAUUCCAUGGCACUUGUCCCUGGUUUUGUAAGUAAGGUUUUCCUGGACAAAGCUGUCCCCAUUACUUUACAUACUGUCUACCACUGCUUUUGCAUUUAAUGGCAGACCUGGGUAGUUGUCAAAGAGAACAUGCAGCCUGCAAAGACUUAAGUCUGUACUGUCUAGCCCUUUACUGAGAAGAAUUGCAGAUCUUUGCUAUAGUAAUAAUUUUGGGGAACUUUGUCAUGAUGCUGUGCAUGGAAAUUCUAAAGUUUCAAUAGGAUUUAUUUAUUUUUUAUCAUGAUAUAAUUUUAAGGUUCAGCUGAAGGAAGAAAGGUUACACAACUUUUGGAAAGGGAGAGUUGUUAGAGGUACCUGCCCUCCAGGAUUGUGCAGUACAGCCUGGACUGUCCUGGCUCAAGGAGGUGGAACUCAUGCAGGAGUAGACAGACCAUAGACAGGACUGGGAAGAUAGGGAAGGGACCCAUAACAGAUGUGGAAGAAAUCUGGCCAGACUGGAAGGACGCUGGACAAUUGGGAGUGACACCAGCCAUGUGGAAGAUGGGUUGCUGGAUCUGCCUCUACUCUGAAGUGAAUUCCAGAGGAAUAAAAUACUUCAGUGUGUAACAAAGGAGUUGCACAUACCAGGAGAAAAUAUUGACAUCCAUCUUACUAAUCUUGUAGGAGAAAAAUUCUUUUAAGCUUCACAGAAAAAGGCAAUGCAAAGCAAAAAAUUGAUCAAUGUGGCUUUUCAAUAAAGUGGCCUAAAAUGUAAAACUUGUCCAUGGCAAAAGCACUGUAAGUAAAACUUAUAGGAUGGAACCAGAUUAACCUGGGAAAAGUAUUGUUUUGUUAUAGAUAAAGAGUUACUGAGUCCAAUAAUAUAAUUUAUUUGUCUCUUGCAAAUGAAUGAGAAUCUGAAGAGUGCACAAUAAAUAAGGGAGAAACAUGGUACAAACCGGGACAAAGGCAACUCACCAGCAAGUGCACUAUGGUGGGUGUUCAACCUUGUAAAUAAUUGGUCUAAAUUUUAUUGAUGUAAAUUUACACAUGUCUUUUUUUGUUGUUUGUUUGAGUGACAAGGUGAAAAAAAUUGAGAAACCCCAGUGACAAUAAGGUUGUGGGAAAAGUGGCUUUUAAGACUCGGUUGCAGUAACUCUGUUUGUAGGGAAAUCUGAUUUCAGAUCAUAGUUUGAACUGCACAGGCCUUUUUUUGGUAUCGGGGAUUGAACUUGGACCUUGCACUUGGGAAGCAGAUGUGGAGCCACUGAGCUAAAUCCUUGGCCCUACACAGGCCUUUUGAUCCUGCAUCAUUGUGCCUUGGGCCUUCAUUUUUAGAAACUAAGUUUUCUUUCAGCUGUGAAAAGCUAGAAACUAUCUUGUCUCAAUGUUCAUCAGUAGAUUUGAUAAAAGAAUGUGUUGGACAUCCCUAUAAUGGGUCCCAAGGAGCCACUGAAAAUGAGGCAGAAUUUCCAACAGUCCUAUCUAUUGUAAGUGUCCUCCUUGUUCUUUACCAAUCUUGGGAUUUUGCUUGGCUUCCUCUUUAAUUGAGAAACAUUUUCCCCUGGAUUCAUUAAGGUGCAAACUUAGUGAAAAUGAUGGACAUUUGGAGAUUUUACUUAUUUAUUUUUACUAGCUAAUGAUUUUACAGGUAUUACACUUAACACUAUAGUAAUAAAGACUUCACACAAAUCCAUGCUUCAUAGCCAUGGACUUAAGCUCGUGAGUGUAUGUGUUGUGUGUGCAUGCAUAUGUGCAUCAGCAUGCUUGUGUACCCGUGUGUGUCUGUGUGUGCACAUGUGCACAUGUGUCUGGUUGUUUGUGUGUGAUCCUGGAGUGCCAGCAUCCAGCUGAGUAUGCAGCCAGCUGGAGGACUUGCUCUGGUUCUCUUUUAAGACAGUCUCAGGGG